AACGAACGCUGGCGGCAGGCUUAACACAUGCAAGUCGAACGCAUGCCUUCGGGCAUGAGUGGCAGACGGGUGAGUAACGCGUGGGAACCUACCCCUUGGUACGGGAUAGCUCCGGGAAACUGGAGAUAAUACCGUAUGUGUCCUGAGGGACAAAGAUUCAUCGCCAAGGGAUGGGCCCGCGUCGGAUUAGCUAGUUGGUGGGGUAACGGCCUACCAAGGCGACGAUCCGUAGCUGGUCUAAGAGGAUGAUCAGCCACAUUGGGACUGAGACACGGCCCAAACCCCCCGGGGAGGCGGCAGGGGGGAAUUUUGGAAAAGGGGCCGAAGCCUGACCCACCCAGGCCGGGGGGGGAAUAAAGGCCCUGGGGUUGAAAAGCUCUUUCACCGGGGACGAUAAUGGCGGUAACCGGAGAAGAAGCCCCGGCUAACUUCGU
rnacentral:rRNA from 1 species